rnacentral:sRNA from 1 species
UCUCCAUUUCACAACACACAACACAAAAAGGGAAGAGGAAAGUGGGUAUCGAAACACAAACCACCCAAAGGAUAAAGGAGAACGUCGCCACGCCGAAAGUGGUGGAAGAAAGGGGAAAGCUUUCCUCAGUGGUGGACAAAUCGACGGAAAACAAAGAGAAGAUACACAAACCGCAGAGAGAAGGGAGAUAGCGGAGAGUGCGUAGGGUUUCGAAAAAGAAAAAUGGGAGAAGCCGCGAAAUGCAAUUUCAACCUAAUCUCUCCUUCCACGUCACUUUUUUGGAUUUAAAAAAUAUAUUUCAAAUGAACCAAUGUCUGGCUAACAUGUGGCGUUGUGAAAAAGUUGUCAAACUUUAGUUGUUAAAGUAUCAGGAUCCAAAAUAUACAUUGUUUUUCUUAUCUCAUUUAUUUAAGUUGGUAUGAGGCCCGGGUCGUGUCCACGGUUUGCUUAUUGUUGUCGCCACCACCGACUGUUGUUGUUGUUUACCAUCAUCAUUGUAUAUCUUAUUAAUGGUAAGACCGGUGGUCGUUGCCUAUAAAUUGUCUUGACACUUCUCCACGCGCCACCUUAGUGUUGCCAGAAUCAGAACAGACCGGUGUCAUUCAUCUCGUAGGAGCCUUUUAGGCUUUUGUCUGCUCCCUUCUAUUCUGGUGGCAAUAUCUCUCACCUAGGGUUUUUCCUCUCAAAGCUAAGUACAAGUCUACCAAACCAAUUU